UACGUAGGCAGCGAGCGUUGUUCGGAAUUACUGGGCGUAAAGGGUGUGUAGGCGGUUGGAUAAGUGUGGUGUGAAAUCUCCCGGCUCAACUGGGAGGGUGCGCUACAAACUGUCUGACUAGAGUGUGGGAUGGGAAAGUGGAAUUCCUGGUGUAGCGGUGAAAUGCGUAGAUAUCAGGAGGAACACCGGUGGUGUAGACGGCUUUCUGGACCAUAACUGACGCUGAGACACGAAAGCGUGGGUAGCAAACAGG
rnacentral:rRNA from 1 species